rnacentral:rRNA from 1 species
ACGCUCGACACCUACGGGAGCAGCAGUGGGGAAUAUUGCACAAUGGGGGAAACCCUGAUGCAGCGACGCCGCGUGAAGGAAGAAGUAUCUCGGUAUGUAAACUUCUAUCAGCAGGGAAGAAAGUGACGGUACCUGACUAAGAAGCCCCGGCUAACUACGUGCAAGCAGCCGCGGUAAUCUGAGCGGGCUGGCAAGGC